rnacentral:rRNA from 1 species
GAUGAACGCUGGCGGCGUGCUUAACACAUGCAAGUCGAGCGAGGCAGUUAAGAAGAUUCUUCGGAUGAUUCUUAACUGACUGAGCGGCGGACGGGUGAGUAACGCGUGGGUGACCUGCCCCAUACCGGGGGAUAACAGCUGGAAACGGCUGCUAAUACCGCAUAAGCGCACAGAGCUGCAUGGCUCGGUGUGAAAAACUCCGGUGGUAUGGGAUGGGCCCGCGUCUGAUUAGGCAGUUGGCGGGGUAACGGCCCACCAAACCGACGAUCAGUAGCCGGCCUGAGAGGGCGACCGGCCACAUUGGGACUGAGACACGGCCCAAACUCCUACGGGAGGCAGCAGUGGGGAAUAUUGCACAAUGGGGGAAACCCUGAUGCAGCGACGCCGCGUGAGCGAAGAAGUAUUUCGGUAUGUAAAGCUCUAUCAGCAGGGAAGAUAAUGACGGUACCUGACUAAGAAGCCCCGGCUAA